rnacentral:rRNA from 1 species
GAUUGUGGCUAAACCUUCUUGUCAAAGCCUGAUGUCGUCAGAUCUCAGAAGCUAAGACAGGCCGGGCCUGGUUAGUGCUUGGAUGGAGAACGCUGGGAAAAUCGGGUGCCACAGUGG